rnacentral:ncRNA from 1 species
GCUGUGACCCACUUAUGUCAAAGUGAGGAAAUUUGAUGAAGCGGGGGUAAACGGCGGGACAUAAAUAAGAGUCUCGAGGUAGCCAAAUGCCUCAUCAUCUGUUUGGGAUGCACA